rnacentral:tRNA from 1 species
GGCUGGAUUGCUCAGUCAGCAGAGCAUGAGACUCUUAAUCCCAGGGUUGUGGGUUCAAGCCCCACAUUGGGUG